rnacentral:rRNA from 1 species
GACGAACGCUGGCGGCGUGCUUAACACAUGCAAGUCGAACGGAAAGGCCCUGCUUUUGUGGGGUGCUCGAGUGGCGAACGGGUGAGUAACACGUGAGUAACCUGCCCUUGACUUUGGGAUAACUUCAGGAAACUGGGGCUAAUACCGGAUAGGAGCUCCUGCUGCAUGGUGGGGGUUGGAAAGUUUCGGCGGUUGGGGAUGGACUCGCGGCUUAUCAGCUUGUUGGUGGGGUAGUGGCUUACCAAGGCUUUGACGGGUAGCCGGCCUGAGAGGGUGACCGGCCACAUUGGGACUGAGAUACGGCCCAGACUCCUACGGGAGGCAGCAGUGGGGAAUAUUGCACACUGGGCGGAAGCCUGAUGCAGCAACGCCGCGUGCGGGAUGAAGGCCUUCGGGUUGUAAACCGCUUUCGCCUGUGAAGAAGAGUGAGUGACGGUAAUGGGUAAAGAAGCACCGGCUAACUACGUG